rnacentral:rRNA from 1 species
AGCGUACACGGUGGAUGCCUAGGCAGUCAGAGGCGAUGAAGGGCGUGCUAAUCUGCGAAAAGCGUCGGUAAGGUGAUAUGAACCGUUAUAACCGGCGAUACCCGAAUGGGGAAACCCAGUGUGUUUCGACACACUAUCAUGUCAUGAAUACAUAGUGGCAUGAGGCGAACCGGGGGAACUGAAACAUCUAAGUACCCCGAGGAAAAGAAAUCAACCGAGAUUCCCCCAGUAGCGGCGAGCGAACGGGGAGGAGCCCAGAACCUGAAUCGGCUUGUGUGUUAGUGGAAGCGUCUGGAAAGUCGCGCAGCAAAGGGUGAUAGCCCCGUACACUAAAAUGCACAGGUCGUGAGUUCGAUGAGUAGGGCGGGACACGUGACAUCCUGUCUGAAUAUGGGGGGACCAUCCUCCAAGGCUAAAUACUCCUGACUGACCGAUAGUGAACCAGUACCGUGAGGGAAAGGCGAAAAGAACCCCGGCGAGGGGAGUGAAAUAGAACCUGAAACCGUGUACGUACAAGCAGUGGGAGCACCUUCGUGGUGUGACUGCGUACCUUUUGUAUAAUGGGUCAGCGACUUAUAUUUUGUAGCAAGGUUAACCGUAUAGGGGAGCCGUAGGGAAACCGAGUCUUAACUGGGCGAUUAGUUGCAAGGUAUAGACCCGAAACCCGGUGAUCUAGCCAUGGGCAGGUUGAAGGUUGGGUAACACUAACUGGAGGACCGAACCGACUAAUGUUGAAAAAUUAGCGGAUGACUUGUGGCUGGGGGUGAAAGGCCAAUCAAACCGGGAGAUAGCUGGUUCUCCCCGAAAGCUAUUUAGGUAGCGCCUCGUGAACUCAUCUUCGGGGGUAGAGCACUGUUUCGGCUAGGGGGCCAUCCCGGCUUACCAAACCGAUGCAAACUCCGAAUACCGAAGAAUGUUAUCACGGGAGACACACGGCGGGUGCUAACGUCCGUCGUGAAGAGGGAAACAACCCAGACCGCCAGCUAAGGUCCCAAAGUCAUGGUUAAGUGGGAAACGAUGUGGGAAGGCACAGACAGCCAGGAUGUUGGCUUAGAAGCAGCCAUCAUUUAAAGAAAGCGUAAUAGCUCACUGGUCGAGUCGGCCUGCGCGGAAGAUGUAACGGGGCUAAACCAUGCACCGAAGCUGCGGCAGCGACGCUUAGGCGUUGUUGGGUAGGGGAGCGUUCUGUAAGCCGUUGAAGGUGGCCUGUGAGGGUUGCUGGAGGUAUCAGAAGUGCGAAUGCUGACAUAAGUAACGAUAAAGCGGGUGAAAAGCCCGCUCGCCGGAAGACCAAGGGUUCCUGUCCAACGUUAAUCGGGGCAGGGUGAGUCGACCCCUAAGGCGAGGCUGAAAAGCGUAGUCGAUGGGAAACAGGUUAAUAUUCCUGUACUUGGUGUUACUGCGAAGGGGGGACGGAGAAGGCUAGGCUGGCCGGGCGACGGUUGUCCCGGUUUAAGCGUGUAGGGGGUGUGACCUGGUAAAUCCGGUUGCAUAUCAACCCUGAGGCGUGAUGACGAUGCACUACGGUGCAGAAGUAGUUGAUGCCCUGCUUCCAGGAAAAUCCUCUAAGCUCCAGGUAACAUUAAAUCGUACCCCAAACCGACACAGGUGGUCAGGUAGAGAAUACCAAGGCGCUUGAGAGAACUCGGGUGAAGGAACUAGGCAAAAUGGUGCCGUAACUUCGGGAGAAGGCACGCUGGCAUGUAGGUGAAGUCCCUCGCGGAUGGAGCUGAAGCCAGUCGAAGAUACCAGCUGGCUGCAACUGUUUAAUAAAAACACAGCACUGUGCAAACACGAAAGUGGACGUAUACGGUGUGACGCCUGCCCGGUGCUGGAAGGUUAAUUGAUGGGGUCAGCCGCAAGGCGAAGCUCUUGAUCGAAGCCCCAGUAAACGGCGGCCGUAACUAUAACGGUCCUAAGGUAGCGAAAUUCCUUGUCGGGUAAGUUCCGACCUGCACGAAUGGCGUAAUGAUGGCCAGGCUGUCUCCACCCGAGACUCAGUGAAAUUGAACUCGCUGUGAAGAUGCAGUGUACCCGCGGCAAGACGGAAAGACCCCGUGAACCUUUACUAUAGCUUGACACUGAACAUUGAGCCUUGAUGUGUAGGAUAGGUGGGAGGCUUUGAAGCGUGGACGCCAGUCUGCGUGGAGCCAUCCUUGAAAUACCACCCUUUAAUGUUUGAUGUUCUAACUCUGCCCCAUAAUCUGGGGUGAGGACAGUGUCUGGUGGGUAGUUUGACUGGGGCGGUCUCCUCCCAAAGAGUAACGGAGGAGCACGAAGGUUAGCUAAUCACGGUCGGACAUCGUGAGGUUAGUGCAAAGGCAUAAGCUAGCUUGACUGCGAGAGUGACGGCUCGAGCAGGUACGAAAGUAGGUCUUAGUGAUCCGGUGGUUCUGAAUGGAAGGGCCAUCGCUCAACGGAUAAAAGGUACUCCGGGGAUAACAGGCUGAUACCGCCCAAGAGUUCAUAUCGACGGCGGUGUUUGGCACCUCGAUGUCGGCUCAUCACAUCCUGGGGCUGAAGUAGGUCCCAAGGGUAUGGCUGUUCGCCAUUUAAAGUGGUACGCGAGCUGGGUUUAGAACGUCGUGAGACAGUUCGGUCCCUAUCUGCCGUGGGCGUUGGAAGAUUGAGAGGGGUUGCUCCUAGUACGAGAGGACCGGAGUGAACGCACCACUGGUGUUCGGGUUGUCAUGCCAAUGGCAUUGCCCGGUAGCUAAGUGCGGAAAAGAUAAGCGCUGAAAGCAUCUAAGCGCGAAACUUGCCUCAAGAUGAGUCUUCCCUGGGCCUUUAAGGCCCCUGAAGGAACGUUUAAGACUAAGACGUUGA